rnacentral:rRNA from 1 species
AACGAACGCUGGCGGCAUGCCUAACACAUGCAAGUCGAACGAGACCUUCGGGUCUAGUGGCGCACGGGUGCGUAACGCGUGGGAACCUGCCCUUAGGUUCGGAAUAACUCCCCGAAAGGGGUGCUAAUACCGGAUAAUGUCUUCGGACCAAAGAUUUAUCGCCUUUGGAUGGGCCCGCGUUGGAUUAGCUAGUUGGUAGGGUAAAAGCCUACCAAGGCGACGAUCCAUAGCUGGUCUGAGAGGAUGAUCAGCCACACUGGGACUGAGACACGGCCCAGACUCCUACGGGAGGCAGCAGUGGGGAAUAUUGGACAAUGGGCGAAAGCCUGAUCCAGCAAUGCCGCGUGAGUGAUGAAGGCCUUAGGGUUGUAAAGCUCUUUUACCCGGGAUGAUAAUGACAGUACCGGGAGAAUAGCUCCGGCUAACUCCAUG